UGAUAAAGGCUGUUAGGGACACUGGGAAUUUCGUCAGGAAACAGGCAACGCUGGUACAGGGAUGUACCAGCGAGGCACAAGUGAACAUGGAUGUGAAUUUGUGCCGGUUGCCGGAUGAAAUUAAUAUGAUAGCGAAAUUCCCAGUGUCCCUUGCAGGCAUUAUGU
rfam:Roseburia sp. CAG:45 genomic scaffold, scf30